rnacentral:lncRNA from 1 species
UUCUUGAGUCCAUUUUGGGUGAAAUUUCACAAGGAAUCCAAAUCUACACUCGUAUCUUGAAGAUUCCUUGGUUUUGGGUUCGGAUUUGAGCAUAGGGGGUGCCAAAAUUUUGGAGGGGUUUUGUAGGUUUUUGUGUGAACUUGGAGAGUUUGUUAUUCUUAUCUUCUACAACACUAAGAUGAUAGGAUUUUGUUAAACAUUGAGUGUUAUGGGUAUAAAUGUAUACGGUGACGAAAAAGGGAAAAGUAGUUGCAAGUUCGUCUAAUGAGCCUCAAGGGGAAGAUGUACAACAAAAGAGGAGGAGAUUGACACGGAUAGGCGACCCGGACU